UACGGGGGGAGCAAGCGUUGUCCGGAAUUAUUGGGCGUAAAGAGCUCGUAGGCGGUCUGUCGCGUCGAUCGUGAAAACUUGGGGCUUAACCCUGAGCUUGCGGUCGAUACGGGCAUCACUGGAGUUCGGCAGGGGAGACUGGAAUUCCUGGUGUAGCGGUGAAAUGCGUAGAUAUCUGGAGGAACACCGGUGGCGAAGGCGGCAUCCUGGACCGACACUGACACUGAGGAGCGAAAGCCAGGGGAGCAAACGGG
rnacentral:rRNA from 1 species